GAUGAACGCUGGCGGCGUGCUUAACACAUGCAAGUCGAACGGAAAGGCCCUGCUUUUGUGGGGUGCUCGAGUGGCGAACGGGUGAGUAACACGUGAGUAACCUGCCCUUGACUUUGGGAUAACUUCAGGAAACUGGGGCUAAUACCGGAUAGGAGCUCCUGCUGCAUGGUGGGGGUUGGAAAGUUUCGGCGGUUGGGGAUGGACUCGCGGCUUAUCAGCUUGUUGGUGGGGUAGUGGCUUACCAAGGCUUUGACGGGUAGCCGGCCUGAGAGGGUGACCGGCCACAUUGGGACUGAGAUACGGCGCAGACUCCUACGGGAGGCAGCAGUGGGGAAUAUUGCACAAUGGGCGGAAGCCUGAUGCAGCAACGCCGCGUGCGGGAUGACGGCCUUCGGGUUGUAAACCGCUUUCGCCUGUGACGAAGCGUGAGUGACGGUAAUGGGUAAAGAAGCACCGGCUAACUACGUG
rnacentral:rRNA from 1 species